rnacentral:rRNA from 1 species
CACGUAGGUGGCAAGCGUUGUCCGGAUUUAUUGGGCGUAAAGCGCGCGCAGGCGGUCCUUUAAGUCUGAUGUGAAAUCUUGCGGCUCAACCGCAAGCGGUCAUUGGAAACUGGGGGACUUGAGUACAGAAGAGGAAAGCGGAAUUCCACGUGUAGCGGUGAAAUGCGUAGAGAUGUGGAGGAACACCAGUGGCGAAGGCGGCUUUCUGGUCUGUAACUGACGCUGAGGCGCGAAAGCGUGGGGAGCAAACAGG